rnacentral:rRNA from 1 species
UACGUAGGGUGCGAGCGUUAAUCGGAAUUACUGGGCGUAAAGCGUGCGCAGGCGGUUUUGUAAGCCAGAUGUGAAAUCCCCGGGCUCAACCUGGGAAUGGCAUUUGGGACUGCAAGGCUCGAGUGCGGCAGAGGAGACUGGAAUUCCUGGUGUAGCAGUGAAAUGCGUAGAUAAUCAGGAGGAAUACCGAUGGCGAAGGCAGGUCUCUGGGCUGACACUGACGCUCAUGCACGAAAGCGUGGGGAGCA